rnacentral:rRNA from 2 species
UGGGGAAUAUUGCACAAUGGAGGGAACUCUGAUGCAGCGACGCCGCGUGAACGAAGAAGGCUUUCGAGUCGUAAAGUUCUUUUAUAUGGGAAGAUAAUGACGGUACCAUAAGAAAAAGCCCCGGCUAACUACGUGCCAGCAGCCGCGGUAAUACGUAGGGGGCUAGCGUUGUCCGGAAUCACUGGGCGUAAAGGGUUCGCAGGCGGAAAUGCAAGUCAGGUGUAAAAGGCAGUAGCUUAACUACUGUAAGCAUUUGAAACUGCAUAUCUUGAGAAGAGUAGAGGUAAGUGGAAUUUUUAGUGUAGCGGUGAAAUGCGUAGAUAUUAAAAAGAAUACCGGUGGCGAAGGCGACUUACUGGGCUCAUUCUGACGCUGAGGAACGAAAGCGUGGGGAGCGAACAGG